rnacentral:rRNA from 1 species
AUUGAACGCUGGCGGCAUGCCUUACACAUGCAAGUCGAACGGCAGCACGGGAGCAAUCCUGGUGGCGAGUGGCGAACGGGUGAGUAAUAUAUCGGAACGUGCCCAGUCGUGGGGGAUAACGCAGCGAAAGCUGUGCUAAUACCGCAUACGAUCUACGGAUGAAAGCGGGGGAUCGCAAGACCUCGCGCGAUUGGAGCGGCCGAUAUCAGAUUAGCUAGUUGGUGAGGUAAAGGCUCACCAAGGCGACGAUCUGUAGCUGGUCUGAGAGGACGACCAGCCACACUGGAACUGAGACACGGGCAAGACUCCUACGGGAGGCAGCAGUGGGGAAUUUUGGACAAUGGGCGCAAGCCUGAUCCAGCAAUGCCGCGUGCAGGAUGAAGGCCUUCGGGUUGUAAACUGCUUUUGUACGGAACGAAACGGCGAGCUCUAAUACAGUUUGCUAAUGACGGUACCGUAAGAAUAAGCACCGGCUAACUACGUGCCAGCAGCCGCCGCAGUAA